CACCUACGGGGCGCAGCAGUGGGGGAUAUUGGACAAUGGGGGAAACCCUGAUCCAGCGACGCCGCGUGAGUGAAGAAGUAUUUCGGUAUGUAAAGCUCUAUCAGCAGGGAAGAAAGAAAUGACAGUACCUGGACAAGAAGCCCCGGCUAACUACGUGCCAGCAGCCGCGGUAAUACGUAGGGGGCAAGCGUUAUCCGGAUUUACUGGGUGUAAAGGGAGCGCAGGCGGCGUGGCAAGUCAGAUGUGAAAACCCGGGGCCCAACCCCGGGAGUGCAUUUGAAACUGCCAUGCUGGAGUGCCGGAGG
rnacentral:rRNA from 1 species